GGUGGCUCAGUGGUAGAGCGCUUGGCUUGCAUGCAAGAGGCCCUGGGUUCGAUUCCUCAGCACCA
rfam:Dipodomys ordii contig_49374, whole genome shotgun sequence.